AGCGAACGCUGGCGGCAGGCUUAACACAUGCCAGUCGAGCGGGCAUCCUUGUGGUGUCAGCGGCAGACGGGUGAGUAACGCGUGGGAACGUGCCCUUCGGUUCGGAAUAACUCAGGGAAACUUGAGCUAAUACCGGAUACGUGCGAGAGCAGAAAGGUUUAUCUGCCGAAGGAUCGGCCCGCGUCUGAUUAGCUAGUUGGUGAGGUUAUGGCUCACCAAGGCGACGAUCAGUAGCUGGUCUGAGAGGAUGAUCAGCCACACUGGGACUGAGACACGGCCCAGACUCCUACGGGAGGCAGCAGUGGGGAAUAUUGGACAAUGGGGGCAACCCUGAUCCAGCCAUGCCGCGUGAGUGAUGACGGCCUUAGGGUUGUAAAGCUCCUUUCUUCGGGACGAUAAUGACGGUACCGGAGGAAUAAGCCCCGGCUAACUUCGUG
rnacentral:rRNA from 1 species